AUCCUGGCUCAGACGAACGCUGGNNCGUGCUUAACACAUGCAAGUCGAGCGAUGGAACACUUUCGGGUGUGAAUUAGCGGUCCAUGACGGGUGAGGAACACAGUGUGAAGAAUCUGCCUUCAACUCUGGGAUAACUCCGGGAAACCGGGGCUAAUACCGGAUAUGAGCCUCGAUCGCAUGAUUGGGGCUGGAAAGUUUUUCGGUUGAAGAUAACUUCGCGGCCUAUCAGCUUGUUGGUGAGGUAAUGGCUCACCAAGGCGACGACGGGUAGCCGGCCUGAGAGGGCGACCGGCCACACCGGGACUGAGACACGGCCCAGACUCUACGGGAGGCAGCAGUGGGGAAUAUUGGGCAAUGGAGGAAACUCUGACCCAGCGACGCCGCGUGAGGGAUGAAGGCUUCGGGUUGUAAACCUCUUUCAGUAGGGAAGAAGCGAAUGUGACGGUACCUACAGAAGAAGCACCGGCUAACUAUGUGCCAGCAGCCGCGGUAAUACAUAGGGUGCAAGCGUUGUCCGGAAUCAUUGGGCGUAAAGAGCUCGUAGGUGGUUCGAUACGUCGGAUGUGAAAAUCAGGGGUCUCAACCCCUGACCUGCAUCCGAUACGGUCGAGCUAGAGUUUGGUAGGGGAGACUGGAAUUCCUGGUGUAGCGGUGGAAUGCGCAGAUAUCAGGAGGAACACCGAUGGCGAAGGCAGGUCUCUGGGCCAAUACUGACACUGAGGAGCGAAAGCGUGGGGAGCGAACAGGAUUAGAUACCCUGGUAGUCCACGCGUAAACGGUGGGCGCUAGUUGUGCGAACCUUCCACGGUUUGUGCGACGCACGAACGCAUUAAGCGCCGCCGGGGGAGUACGAUCGCAAGAUUAAAACUCAAAGGAAUUGACGGGGCCCCGCACAAGCAGCGGAGCAUGCGGCUUAAUUCGACGCAACGCGAAGAACCUUACCAAGGCUUGACAUAUACAGGAAUAUGGCAGAGAUGUCAUAGCGCAAGGUCUGUAUACAGGUGGUGCAUGGUUGUCGUCAGCUCGUGUCGUGAGAUGUUGGGUUAAGUCCCGCAACGAGCGCAACCUCGUCGUGCAGCAUUAGUGGGCCACAGAACUGCGGUAACUCGGAGGAAGGUGGGGAUGACGUCAAAUCAUCAUGCCCCUUUGUCUUGGGCUGCACGCAUGCUACAAUGGCUGGUACAAACGGCUGCGAUACCGCAAGGUGGAGCGAAUCCGAUAAAGCCAGUCUCAGUUCGGAUUGGGGUCUGCAACUCGACCC
rnacentral:rRNA from 1 species